GAACAUCUAUUGGAACAUUUUUUUUAGUAUUUAGAAUUGGUCUCUCAAUUAGCCUUCAACAAAAGAAAGAAAACAGGACAAAAAAUGAGUAAAAAAAGUCAUCUAUGAACAGCAAAGCAAAUUUUCCCUCUUCUUCCUCCUCAGAAAAACUGUGUUUCCAUUUUGGUGUUUAUAAUAGCUUCGAUCUUAAUACUUUAGUCAUAUCAGUAUAACACUUUUCUCAAAUGGGUUAAGAUCUAUAUGAAGUUGUUGCCUUUUCUCAAAUAGCAAUCUGUGAGCAGAUUUUUGACAUCAAGUAACGCUCUCAUUCUAGAUCUGAACAAAAUUCUCCUCAAGACACGAUUAACAUGGAGUUUGGAUUAAGGGUUCAAUAGAAAUGAUUUUCGGAUAAUUUCAAAGAGAUGAAGAAAUACACACAGAAUAAAUGGAAUUUAACACAGAGAAGCUAAAUCUGUCAAAAAUAAAAUGAAGAGAAGCUGAGAGAUUGAUGUGAUUUAACUUUGUUUGUUCCUGCAUAUCAAAAUGGGAAGAAAGCUGAGUAAACGAGAGAGAGAAG
rnacentral:lncRNA from 1 species